rnacentral:lncRNA from 13 species
CUCCUAGCUCUUUCUGAAAGUAUAAUUCAUAACCUAUGAUCUUUCACUCCUGUUUCACAUUUAAAAGAAAAUUGAUCUGCCUUGUAAAUAUGUGCAAUUUGCAUGCUAUCAUAUACUUGCUGACAUGUUCUCUUUCUUCUGUUGGGCUGUGAGGGUUGAGAGAUCCACCAAAGCAAGAACCAGGUCUUCCUCAAGCCUUGUCUCUCUGGCUUCUCCAGGCUUGCUGAGCGAUAACUGAUCUGCUUUUCAAGCACACCAAGCUCCUUCCCACCUCAGGGCCUUCCCACUUGCUGUUCCCUCUGCCUGGAAAGCUCUCCCUGGGCAUUUUCCCACAGCAGACUCCUUCUCAUCAACAGGUAUCACAGACCACGUCGCUGGGAUACCUCUUCUGACCCCAUAUAAAGGAGCCACCAAUCUCCAGCCACUCCAUCACAUGGCUGGAGUACAAUGGCAUGAUCUCAGCUCGCUGCAAGCUCCGCCUUCCGGUUUCAAGUGAUUCUCCUGCCUCAGCCUCCUGAGUAGCUGGGAUUACAGGCCCCCACCAAUGCGCCCAGCUAAUUUCUGUAUUUUUAGUAGAGACAGGGUUUCACCAUGUUGGCCAGGCUGGUCUCAAACUCCUGACCUUGUGAUUUGCCCACCUCGGCCUCCCAAAGUGCUGGGAUUACAGACAUGAGCCACCACACCUGGCCAACCCAGGACCUUUUCUGAACUGUGUUGAAGGUAGGAACCACUCUCUGAGCUUGGU